rnacentral:rRNA from 1 species
UACGUAGGGUGCAAGCGUUGUCCGGAAUUAUUGGGCGUAAAGAGCUCGUAGGCGGUCUGUCGCGUCUGCUGUGAAAACUCGGGGCUUAACCCCGGGCCUGCAGUGGGUACGGGCAGACUAGAGUGCAGUAGGGGAGACUGGAAUUCCUGGUGUAGCGGUGAAAUGCGCAGAUAUCAGGAGGAACACCGAUGGCGAAGGCAGGUCUCUGGGCUGUAACUGACGCUGAGGAGCGAAAGCAUGGGGAGCGAACAGG